rnacentral:rRNA from 1 species
AACGAACGCUGGCGGCGUGGAUAAGACAUGCAAGUCGAGCGGGAACUUUCGCUGUAGCAAUACAGUGAAAGUUCUAGCGGCGAACGGGUGCGUAACACGUGGACAAUCUGCCUUAAAGUGGGGGAUAGCUCGGCGAAAGCCGAAUUAAUACCGCAUGUGAUGAGAGACGACAUCGUCUUGAAAUCAAAGCCGGGGCAACCUGGCGCUUUUUGUAGGAGUCCGCGGCCAUCAGCUAGUUGGUGAGGUAACGGCCCACCAAGGCUAUGACGGGUAGGCUGGUCUGAGAGGACGACCAGUCACACUGGAACUGAGACACGGUCCAGACACCUACGGGUGGCAGCAGUCGAGAAUUUUUUGACAA